AUGGUCAGUAGGACAGAGGGUAACAUUGAUGACUUGCUCAUUGGUGGAAAUGCUUCCGCUGAAGGACCUGAGGGCGAACAUUCGGAAAGCACAGUUAGCACUGGUGUUGAUAUUGUCAUGAAACCAGUGAUAACUGCAGGAAACCAGCUUCACAAAAGAAACCUACAAGAAGUACAUCAAAGAUUACAUGAAGUCAAUCAAAGGCAAACUUGAAGAACAGAGACCAGAAAGAGUAAAACCUUUUAUGACAGGGGCUGCAGAACAAAUCAAGCACAUCCUGGCUAAUUUCAAAAACUACCACUUCUUUAUUGGUGAAAACAUGAAUCCAGAUGGUAUGGUUGCUCUCCUGGACUACCGUGAGGAUGGUGUGACCCCAUAUAUGCUUUUCCUUAAGGAUGGUUUAGAAAUGGAAAAAUGUUAACAAAUUUGGCGAUUACUUUGGAUCUAUCACCAGUCAUCAUAACCGGCUGCUGCUUGUCAUCCACACAACACAAGGGCUUAAGACAAACCGGAUUGAUGUCAUCUUGAGCUCUUGGUUUAUUUUGACCGUGAUUUAUUUGGAGUGGAGGCAUUGUUUUUAAGGAAAAACAUGUCAUGUAGGUUGUUUAAAAAUAAAAUGCAUUUAAACU